UGGCAGACACUGCAUACCCUGCAUGUAUUUAGAGAUGAGGAAAACUGCUCCGGGUUUACGAUUGGUGGAUAAGUCCUUAUUGAUGGAGGGCAGAACCAUAGAAUGGGUUUAUUCGAUAUGGUCUUGAUAAAAGAUAACCAUAUAUCAAUAGCUGGAGGCAUCAAGAAUGCCAUUAAAUCCGUUGACAUGUAUUUAGAGCAAUAGAACCUUCAAAUGGAGGUUGAGGUUGAAACCAGGACACUUUACGAAGUAAACGAGGUAUUGCAUUAUGCAUCUCAAGCAAAGACAGCCUUGAAUCGAAUAAUGUUGGAUAAUAUGGUUGUACCGUUACCAAUGGAGAUGUAGAUGCAUCUAUGGCUUAAAGAAGCUGUGGAUAUGAUUGAUGAGAGAUUUGAGACUGAGGCAUCAGGCAAUGUCACUCUUGAAACGGUACACAAAAUUGGACAAACUGGAGUGACCUACAUUUCUAGUAACACAUUCUGUAAAAGCACUUGACAUCUCCCUCAAGAUUGAUACAGAAGUUGGCCCUUCUAGUUGGAAGGCGUACAAAACGAGCAUGACUGUCUGUCCUUCAUAUCGCAUUCUUUUACUCUUGUUAAUGCAAUAAGUUGAGCUGCCGCCGGUAAAUCUUACCAUUCUGUCUCGUACUAAGAGAUUGCUUCACUUCUUUUGUGGAUUGACCAUCAAAUAAGAUAUUGUUUUAUGUGUUUACUGCA